AAGUCGUAACAAGGUAUCUGUAGGUGAACCUGCAGAUGGAUCAUUUCGAUGAAAACCUUUUUUUUCUGAGGUGCGGCCCGCACCUGUCCAACUAAACUAGGGCUACCUUUUUUUCAACACGGUUGCAUCGGUCGGGUUCGAAGCAGAGGCAUGCGAGAGUGUGUCUUUACGACGACCUGACACCUUACAAAAACACUUUUGAUGAUCUAGGAUUAAGAAAGAAUUUAUUAUUUUUACGGCUGGUAAUGCGGUCGUCUAAAAAUCUUAAAAACAACUUUUGGCAACGGAUCUCUUGGUUCUCC
rnacentral:misc_RNA from 1 species